GGCACAUCGGAGAUACAUUAAAGCCUGGAACUUGCUGGUCAAGUAAAAGACUGCAUCUUGGAUCAAAGGUCAACGGAUUCCUCUGGAUCUAUCAAGAUACCCAGCUUCCAGACCACAGAGCUCAUGACCUCUGGCUACAGAAUGAGACCCAGUCAACGUACCAAGAAUCUACGCCACAGUUAUCUUCUCGGACCCACUUCUAGCUGGCAGCUACCUGGCUCCGCUUUCUAUGCGCCUCCUCGCAGACGAACCCUGUCCACCCUCCGCUGUGCCUCACCUAGUGCCCAGUUGCAACUUUGGAUUAUUCCCAACCACAGUCAAGGACUUACCUUCCAAAACAUCUCCGCAGCACUUUCCAGGCCCCGCAUCCCUCUCCUCCUGACAGACGUCUUCCACUAUUUAGUUGCUUUCAAGCCCUAGCUCUGUUUCCGGUACGAUUGCUGACUUCUGGAUUAAGUGUGUUUGUUUCCUGACUCCUGGGUUGAGAACCUUGUGGAUCAACAUUAUGGAGAACCCUG